CCCUCUUCCUCCCUGAGAAGCUGAGAUAAACAGGAAGGAGAGGCCUGAGUGUCUCCCACAGAUAAACAGGCUCCACCCAGAGCCAACAGUGCCUGUGUCUGGGACAGAGUGGGAGAGGACAGAAGUGCUCCUCCUCCAAGAACAUGGAAGUGGGCCUGGGAAGAGGGGAGGCCGUUUCCUCAAUCCCAGCCCUUAGCACCAGCACCUAGAGCUGAACCAGGAAGAUCCUGGGAGCUAAAGACAGACAGAUGGCAACUUCUCUCUCCUCCUCCUUCUUCAAUAUACUUCAGGAUGGUGGGAACAAAAGCAGGCCGGAGCCAAGGGAACCGAGCCAGGCCAGAGGAAUGGAUCCAUCCUCCUGCCAGGAGAGCUCUCCAGAAGAAGGGCUGUGCACUAAUUCGAGCCAAUGAUGAGCAAUGGCCAGAUGGGUGCUGAUGCCUCUCCUGUUUUGGGGCCUGCUCCUUGGUUCUUCUGUGCUUUGGUUCUACAUCUUCAGAAACUACAGUCCUCAUGACCAAGAUCCUGCAACCUCCGACUUAGACAGCUUCUCCUAGUCACGGUCCCAGUUCCAUGCUCCUGAGGCUUCUGCCUUCUUACUACUUGCUCACCCUGACCCUCACAUUCCCAAGAAUUCUGACUUCCUCCCUGAAUCCUGGGCCAAGCCACCAGUCACAUCUGUGUUUUCCUAGCUGAUCACUCCUUUGCUUCUUACCAGGCAUUCUUAUGCCAGCCCUUUGGGGAAGCCCUUGUCCCUUUUGUUCUUUUCUCCUAGCCUUGAGUUGUUGCCCACAGCCUCCUGUGAGGUUUAUGCAUGCUUGGGUCUCCCGGACUAUUUCCUGGCCUCUGAGAGCAGCAGAGUUGUCUCCCCACUGACUUCUUGAGCUUCACCCUGGGAGAGACCAAAGUGGUCAAUUGUAGCAGUGACCUCUUCCCAGUAUUAGCAGGCUAUAGUGGCAGAAGCUUCUUGCCCCUCCAUAAAUCAGCUGUGUAACAUUGGAAGUAGCAGCGCUUGGAUGAGUUCAGUCCCAGUCAAGAUCAAGUCACUCCAGCUAAAUUCCUUCCCUCUGAAUUAACCAUUUGUUCUCUUCAGCACGGAUAUGCUGUGCCCUCAUUCUACAGUCCCACCUGCUUGACAUUUGUUAUCAACAGGCAUCCCCAGGCCUGCCCAGUAUCCCUCCUUCCCA